UACGUAGGGGGCAAGCGUUGUCCGGAAUCAUUGGGCGUAAAGAGCGUGUAGGCGGCUCGAUAAGUCUGCUGUGAAAAGUCCAGGGCUCAACCCUGGAAGGCCGGUGGAAACUGUCGGGCUAGAGUCCGGAAGAGGCGAGUGGAAUUCCCGGUGUAGCGGUGAAAUGCGCAGAUAUCGGGAGGAACACCAAUGGCGAAGGCAGCUCGCUGGGACGGUACUGACGCUGAGACGCGAAAGCGUGGGGAGCAAACAGG
rnacentral:rRNA from 1 species